UUUCUCUGUAAAUUCUCAUCUUCAUCUCUCCCUCUCAUCUUUCUUUCUCUCUCUAGACCACCAUUAACACCACCACUGUCACCACCACAGCCACAACCACAACCACCUCCGUCUCCAACCAUCACCUCAACCACAAACCUCCAGCACACUCUGUCUCUCUCUCUCUAAAUCCUCACAGUCCUCCUCUCCCUUCAAGUAAACAGCCGGCCACCACCAUUUGGUGGCGACGCACAGCGACAAGCAAGUUAGAGAGAGGGAACAGUUAGAGAGAGAGAGAUCGAGGAGAAGCUGAACUCCGAGAUAUCACAGUGUGACUGUGGCCACCGGAGCUCCGAACUGGGCUGAAGCAGUGGCGGCGGGCAAAAUCCCAGAUCUUUUGAUUGGAGCGUGAAGCGGUCAUUCCAAUUUUGAAGCCCAGACUCGUCAUGUCUCUGGCCAAUUUAACCGGUAAUCAGAUCAAAUUUAUGCUUUUUAUUCUGUAACACUUGUUGACUGCAACCUGACGAUGUUCCCUAAGUCAAUUCUAUGUUUAAAUUGUUCUGUUGGUUUCUAGGUGUUCAAUUUUGGAUUAAUAUGAGCAUUGGUUGUGUUUGGAGGUGGCGGUGGGGAUGA
rnacentral:lncRNA from 1 species